AGCGAACGCUGGCGGCAGGCUUAACACAUGCAAGUCGAACGCCCCGCAAGGGGAGUGGCAGACGGGUGAGUAACACGUGGGAACGUACCCUUUGGUUCGGAAUAACUUGGGGAAACUCAAGCUAAUACCGGAUAAGCCCUUAUGGGGAAAGGUUUACUGCCGAAGGAUCGGCCCGCGUCUGAUUAGCUAGUUGGUGAGGUAAUGGCUCACCAAGGCGACGAUCAGUAGCUGGUCUGAGAGGAUGAUCAGCCACACUGGGACUGAGACACGGCCCAGACUCCUACGGGAGGCAGCAGUGGGGAAUCUUGGACAAUGGGCGCAAGCCUGAUCCAGCCAUGCCGCGUGAGUGAAGAAGGUCUUCGGAUUGUAAAGCUCUUUUGCCAGGGACGAUAAUGACGGUACCUGGAGAAUAAGCCCCGGCAAACUUCGUGCCAGCAGCCGCGGUAA
rnacentral:rRNA from 1 species